GAUGAACGCUAGCGGCAGGCCUAAUACAUGCAAGUCGAACGGUGUCUUCGGACAUAGUGGCGCACGGGUGCGUAACACGUAUGCAACCUACCUUACAUUGGGGGAUAGCCUUUCGAAAGGGAGAUUAAUACCGCAUAAGACAGUAGCUGGGCAUCCAGCAGCUGUUAAAGAUUUAUCGAUGUAAGCUGGGCAUGCGUCCAAUUAGCUAGUUGGUGAGGUAACGGCUCACCAAGGCAAUGAUUGGUAGGGGAACUGAGAGGUCAAUCCCCCACACUGGCAUUGAGAUACGGGCCAGACUCGUGCGGGAGGCAGCAGUAGGGAAUAUUGGGCAAUGGACGCAAGUCUGACCCAGCCAUGCCGCGUGCAGGAUGAAGGCGUUAUGCGUUGUAAACUGCUUUUAUACAGGAAGAAACGACUCUUGCGAGAGGCAUUGACGGUACUGUAUGAAUAAGCACCGGCUAACUCCGUGCCAGCCGCCGCGGUAAUAC
rnacentral:rRNA from 1 species